rnacentral:rRNA from 1 species
GACAGAGGAUGCAAGCGUUAUCCGGAAUGAUUGGGCGUAAAGCGUCUGUAGGUGGCUUUUUAAGUCCGCCGUCAAAUCCCAGGGCUCAACCCUGGACAGGCGGUGGAAACUACCAAGCUGGAGUACGGUAGGGGCAGAGGGAAUUUCCGGUGGAGCGGUGAAAUGCGUAGAUAUUGGGAGGAACACCAGUGGCGAAAGCGGCCGUCUGGGACAUUCCUGACACUGAGGUUCGAAAGCUCGGGGAGCAAACGAGGAUUAGAUACCCG